GCGUUAAAGCAAGGGCGUCUGGAGGAUGCCUUGGCGCACACAGGCGAUGAAGGACGUAGCACGCUGCGAUAAGCCGCGAGUAGGGGCGAGCACCCUCUGAUCCGCGGAUUUCCGAAUCGGGAAACCGAACCCGCAAGGGUUAUCUGUCCCUGAAUACAUAGGGGAGAGAAGCAAACCCGGGGAACUGAAACAUCUCAGUACCCGGAGGAAAGGACAUCAAUUGAGACUCCGUUAGUAGUGGCGAGCGAAAGCGGACUAGGCCAGUAGUCUUCGUUUAAGAACCGGAACGCUCUGGAAAGGGCGGCCAUAGCGGGUGAUAGCCCCGUACGGGUAGAAAGAGCGAAGAUUCUCGAGUAGGACGGGACACGAGUAAUCCUGUCUGAACACGGGGGGACCACCCUCNNGGGAAAGGUGAAAAGCACCCCGGCGAGGGGAGUGAAAGAGACCUGAAACCGGACGCCUACAAACAGAUGGAGCAGGCUCACCAAAGGUGAGUUGCUUCUCUACCUUGCUGAAAACGCGAAGUGUCGAAACGAUGCGAACGAAGGCGAAAGCCGUCGGGCGCAGCGCGUCGAUAUUUUGGUUUUUGAAGGAAGAGAAGGGCCCGCUUUUGGCGAGCCUGUGACAUCGUACCUUUUGUAUAAUGGGUCAGCGAGUUCGUUUGUCUAGCAAGCUUAAGCCAUGAGGCGGAGGCGCAGCGAAAGCGAGUCUGAAUAGGGCGACUGAGUUAGACGGAUGAGACCCGAAAGCAAGUGAUCUAGCCAUGACCAGGCUGAAGGUGCGGUAACACGCACUGGAGGGCCGAACCCACGCCUGUUGAAAAAGUCGGGGAUGAGUUGUGGCUAGGGGUGAAAGGCCAAUCAAACUUGCAGAUAGCUGGUUCUCUGCGAAAGCUAUUUAGGUAGCGCGUCAUGUAUCACCACCGGGGGUAGAGCACUGGAUGGGCUAGGGGACUUCACCGUCUACCAAACCUAACCAAACUCCGAAUACCNNGAAAGCGUAACAGCUCACUGGUCUAAAUAAGGAACUUUGCGCCGAAGAUGUAACGGGGCUCAAGCCACGUGCCGAAGCUUUGGAUUCAUCGAAAGAUGAAUGGUAGCAGAGCGUUGCGUAUGCCUGCGAAGGGAAAGGGCGACCGAUCCUGGAGGUAUCGCAAGUGAGAAUGCUGACAUGAGUAGCGAUAAAGAGGGUGAGAGACCCUCUCGCCGGAAGUCCAAGGGUUCCUGCGUCAAGUUAAUCUGCGCAGGGUUAGCCGGCCCCUAAGGUGAGGCCGAAAGGCGUAAUCGAUGGGAACCAGGUGAACAUUCCUGGGCCUGCGGGUAGUGACGGAUUCUGUAACCUGUCCGAUCUUACUGGAUUGAUCGGGCCGGGAAGGAGUCCCAGGAAAUAGCUCCCGCGUUAAGUCCGUACCCCAAACCGACACAGGUGGACUGGCAGAGUAUGCUAAGGCGCUUGAGAGAACUGUGUUGAAGGAACUAGGCAAAUUGCCCUCGUAACUUCGGAAGAAGAGGGCCCAGUCUUUGCGCAAGCAUCGACUGGGGGCACAUAGCAGGGGGUAGCGACUGUUUACUAAAAACACAGGGCACUGCGAAAUCCAAAGAUGACGUAUAGUGUCUGACGCCUGCCCGGUGCCGGAAGGUUAAGAGGAGAUGUGAAAGCGUCGAAUCGAAGCCCCGGUAAACGGCGGCCGUAACUAUAACGGUCCUAAGGUAGCGAAAUUCCUUGUCGGGUAAGUUCCGACCUGCACGAAUGGCGUAACGACUUCCCCGCUGUCUCCAACACCAACUCAGCGAAAUUGAAUUCUCCGUGAAGAUGCGGAGUACCCGCGGUUAGACGGAAAGACCCCGUGCACCUUUACUGCAACUUUGCACUGGCAUUAGGACUGUGAUGCGUAGGAUAGGUGGUAGGCUUUGAAGUCUGGGCUCUGGCUCGGAUGGAGCCGUCCUUGAAAUACCACCCUUUGCGAUCCUGAUGUCUAACUGCGGCCUCGAAACGAGGUUCAGGACCAUGCAUGGUAGGCAGUUUGACUGGGGCGGUCGCCUCCCAAAGAGUAACGGAGGCGCGCGAUGGUAGGCUCAGACCGGUCGGAAAUCGGUUGUUGAGUGCAAUGGCAAAAGCCUGCCUGACUGCAAGGUUGACGGACCAAGCAGAGUCGAAAGACGGUCAUAGUGAUCUGCCGAUCCCGCGUGGAAGGGUCGGCACUCAACGGAUAAAAGGUACGCCGGGGAUAACAGGCUGAUCGCGCCCAAGAGUCCAUAUCGACGGCGCGGUUUGGCACCUCGAUGUCGGCUCAUCACAUCCUGGGGCUGGAGCAGGUCCCAAGGGUUCGGCUGUUCGCCGAUUAAAGUGGUACGUGAGCUGGGUUUAGAACGUCGUGAGACAGUUCGGUCCCUAUCUGCCGUGGGUGUUCGAAACUUGAGAGGACCCGUUCCUAGUACGAGAGGACCGGAAUGGACGUACCUCUGGUGGACCGGUUGUCGUGCCAACGGCACAGCCGGGUAGCUAAGUACGGACGAGAUAACCGCUGAAAGCAUCUAAGCGGGAAACUCACCUCAAAACCAGGUUUCGCAUGAGAGCCGUGGAAGACGACCACGUCGAUAGGCCAGGUGUGUAAGCGCGGCAACGCGUUGAGCUUACUGGUCCUAAUCGCUCGAUUGGCUUGAUCGC
rnacentral:rRNA from 1 species